GGUUAAGUCAGGCAACGAGCAAGACCCGUGCCCACAGUUGCCAGCAUACCCUCCGGGGUGAUGGGCACACUGUGGGGACCGCCGCUGCUAAAGCGGAGGAAGGCGCGGGCUACGGUAGGUCAGUAUGCCCCGAAUCAUCCGGGCUACACGCGGGCUACAAUGGUUGGGACAAUGGGCACCUACACCGAGAGGUGAUGGUAAUCUUCUAAACCCAGCCUUAGUUCGGAUUGAGGGUUGCAACUCGCCCUCAUGAAGCCGGAAUCCGUAGUAAUCGCGUAUCAAUAUCACGCGGUGAAUACGUCCCUGCUCCUUGCACA
rnacentral:rRNA from 1 species